rnacentral:rRNA from 1 species
GACGAACGCUGGCGGCGUGCCUAAUACAUGCAAGUCGAGCGGACGAAUCGAAAGCUUGCUUUUGAUUCGUUAGCGGCGGACGGGUGAGUAACACGUGGGCAACCUGCCCUGUAGACGGGGAUAACACCGAGAAAUCGGUGCUAAUACCGGAUAACACGAAAUGUCGCAUGACGUUUCGUUGAAAGACGGCGCAAGCUGCCGCUACAGGAUGGGCCCGCGGGGCAUUAGCUAGUUGGUGAGGUAACGGCUCACCAAGGCGACGAUACGUAGCCGACCUGAGAGGGUGAUCGGCCACACUGGGACUGAGACACGGCCCAGACUCCUACGGGAGGCAGCAGUAGGGAAUCUUCCGCAAUGGACGAAAGUCUGACGGAGCAACGCCGCGUGAGCGAAGAAGGCCUUCGGGUCGUAAAGCUCUGUUGUUAGGGAAGAACAAGUAACGCAGUAACUGGCGUUACCGUGACGGUACCUAACGAGAAAGCCACGGCUAACUACGUG